GCAAACAAGCGCAACGCUUAACGUUGUUUUAUGCUGUGGCGGAUGGGAGGAGAAAUGCUUCAAUACUGAAGAAUUUGCGUAAAAAUACAGGUGCAGAAAAACGUAGAGAGAGUGCAAUCUCCGUGUGGAAACAUGCGUUCGUAUUUGCAAAGAAUACACGGGAAAUAAAAGGGGGGGGGGGAGUACGGGAUGGAUUGAGAGCGAAAAAUUUUAAUUCCUUCCCUGUAUGACUGUAUAACCUAUUUAAAUUAUAUGGAUCUUUAAAGCGUGUAUGGUGGGAAAUUUCUCUUCUACUCAACUAAUACCUCCUUAUCCCGAUUCCCUUGAGGCAAGCACCUUAAGGAUUUCUUGACGUUGCAGAGUUAUUCCAUACAUCUGUUCUACAAAUAGAAAUGUGUAUGAAUGCGUUGGGUCAACCUGAACAUAAAAAGACACUAUGAAAGCCAAACAAGUGUUUGAGAUCUAAGAACUGCAAUUCGAAAUUUUGGUUGUUUCCACCUUUUGGCUGUUGUGAAGAAUGCCGUUAUGAGCAUAGCUGUGCAAGUAUCACUUGAAGUUCCUGUUUUCAAUGGUUUGAGGGAAAGCAGAGUGUACUCCUGAAGGGGCUGAAUUACCGAUCACCUGACCCUCCUCAGAACUUUCCUCAGUGACUGUCAAACACUCAAUAGACACGCGGUGAGUGAAUCUGCUUUACCAAAUUGCCCUGCAGUGUAGUUGUGACAAUCACACUCUGUUUUAAUGUGUAAAUAUCUUCUAAGUGCUACAAUCUGAUCAGGGAGUAAGGGAGCCUCCCUUAAAUUUGUAAUGUGUGUUUAAACUUUCCUUGGGGCG